UACAGAGGGUGCGAGCGUUAAUCGGAAUUACUGGGCGUAAAGCGUGCGCAGGCGGUUCGUUGUGUCGGUGGUGAAAGCCCCGGGCUUAACCUGGGAAUGGCCAUGGAAACUGGCGGACUGGAGUGUGGCAGAGGGGGGUGGAAUUCCGCGUGUAGCAGUGAAAUGCGUAGAGAUGCGGAGGAACACCGAUGGCGAAGGCAGCCCCCUGGGCUAGCACUGACGCUCAGGCACGAAAGCGUGGGGAGCAAACAGG
rnacentral:rRNA from 1 species